GCGGGUAUAGUUUAGUGGUAAAACGAAAGCCUUCCAAGCUUUAGUCGCGAGUCCGAUUCUCGUUACCCGCUUUA
rnacentral:tRNA from 1 species